UACGGAGGGAGCUAGCGUUGUCCGGAAUCAUUGGGCGUAAAGAGCGCGUAGGCGGCCCUGUAAGUCCGCUGUGAAAGUCAAGGGCUCAACCCUUGAAUGCCGGUGGAUACUGCAGGGCUAGAGUCCGGAAGAGGCGAGUGGAAUUCCUGGUGUAGCGGUGAAAUGCGCAGAUAUCAGGAGGAACACCGAUGGCGAAGGCAGCUCGCUGGGACGGUACUGACGCUGAGGUGCGAAAGCGUGGGGAGCGAACAGG
rnacentral:rRNA from 1 species